rnacentral:lncRNA from 1 species
GAAAUAAUGACUUCUUUUGUCUCAUGCUUUCAGAGGUCCAGCAUUGCUAGCUCCAUUGCUUUGGAACUGUGGGAGCUAGAGCACAGAAGCAGAGCAGAAUGAAGUGACCAUCAAGGCCACAUCUUCCUUAUACAUUGAAGAGUGGUUGAAGAGAACACCUGAUAUCAGCCUGUGGUCUCCAUAUGGACGUGCACGUGUCAUUCCUCUGGUUGGUACCGCACACUCAAUUACCAGGGUUUGCAGAAUGAAGCAGACCUUGGCAAUACCAUCACCUACCACCAGGGGCACUGCUGCCUUGGAGACCUCCAGACAGAGAGGGCUUCUGAGAAGGCAUCAUGACCAGCUUAGUGGGAAGGAGAGGUUUUGGCUACUUACUGACAUUUGGAUCAACAUGUUCCCCUGAGAAACGAGGAGAAGCCAUCCUGUUCCUUCCAGAGCCUGGCUUCGGGAGGAUAAUAUACACUUCCAUUUGUCACCAGCAGCUCUGUGUUCUUUCCUGAGUUAUCCCAGGUCCCAGAGGAGCUCACAAAUGCUGGGAACAUUGUGAGUAGCUUUGAUCAUUUUCAG